rnacentral:rRNA from 1 species
GAUGAACGCUGGCGGCGUGCUUAACACAUGCAAGUCGAGCGAGAAACCUAAAAAUGACGCUUCGGUAGAUUUUUUAGGCGGAAAGCGGCGGACGGGUGAGUAACGCGUAGGCAACCUGCCCUUAGCAGAGGGAUAGCCUCGGGAAACCGGGAUUAAAACCUCAUAAUACUGAUUUGUCACAUGUCGGAUUAGUCAAAGAUUUAUCGGCUAAGGAUGGGCCUGCGUCUGAUUAGCUGGUUGGUGAGGUAACGGCUUACCAAGGCAAUGAUCAGUAGCCGACCUGAGAGGGUGAUCGGCCACAUUGGAACUGAGACACGGUCCAA